rnacentral:rRNA from 1 species
UACGUAGGGCGCAAGCGUUGUCCGGAAUUAUUGGGCGUAAAGAGCUCGUAGGCGGCUUGUCACGUCGGAUGUGAAAGCCCGGGGCUUAACCCCGGGUCUGCAUUCGAUACGGGCUAGCUAGAGUGUGGUAGGGGAGAUCGGAAUUCCUGGUGUAGCGGUGAAAUGCGCAGAUAUCAGGAGGAACACCGGUGGCGAAGGCGGAUCUCUGGGCCUGUUCUGACGCUGAGGCGCGAAAGCUAGGGGAGCGAACAGG